AUUGAACGCUGGCGGCAGGCCUAACACAUGCAAGUCGAACGAGUGGCGGACGGGUGAGUAAUGUCUGGGAAACUGCCCGAUGGAGGGGGAUAACUACUGGAAACGGUAGCUAAUACCGCAUACCAUCGGAUGUGCCCAGAUGGGAUUGGCUAGUAGGUGGGGUAACGGCUCACCUAGGCGACGAUCCCUAGCUGGUCUGAGAGGAUGACCAGCAAACAUGGAACAGAGACACGGGCGAGACUCCUACGGGAGGAAGGAGGGUGGAAUAUUGCACAAUGGGCGCAAGCCUGAUGCAGACAUGACGCGUGUAUGAAGAAGGCCUUCGGGUUGUAAAGUACUUUCAGCGAGGAGGCGUUACUAGCAGAAUAAGCACCGGCUAACUCCGUGCCAGCAGCCGCGGUAAUUC
rnacentral:rRNA from 1 species